rnacentral:rRNA from 1 species
GUCUACAGCCACACCACCCUGAACUUGCCCGAUCUCAUCUGAUCUCGGAAGCUAAGCAGGGUCGGGCCUCGUUAGUAUUUGGAUGAGAGACCACCUAGGAAUACCAGGUGCUGUAGGCA